GUACACGCUGUGACUAGCAUAUCAAUAAGCGGAGGAAAAGAAACUAACAAGGAUUCCCCUAGUAACGGCGAGUGAAGCGGGAAGAGCUCAAAUUUGAAAUCUUAAAGGGUUUCCCUUUACGAAUUGUAGUUUAAAGAAGUGUUUUCUGUUGAGGUUUUGGUAAAAGUUCUUUGGAAUAGGACAUCAUAGAGGGUGAGAAUCCCGUAUUUGACCUUUACUUUCAACUUUGUGAUACACUUUCAAAGAGUCGGAUUGUUUGGGAAUGCAGUCCAAAAUGGGUGGUAAAUUUCAUCUAAAGCUAAAUAUUGGCGAGAGACCGAUAGCGAGCAAGUACCGUGAGGGAAAGAUGAAAAGAACUUUGAAAAGAGAGUUAAACAGUACGUGAAAUUGUCAAAAGGGAAGCGUUUGACACCAGUGUUGUUUUUCUGAAAAUCAAUUAAAGAACUGUUUAUGCUAAGCUGUUUAGACUUUAUCAGCUAAUCUGUUUAGUUUUGAGCUUUUCUUUAAUGCACUCUUCAGUUAACAAGUCAACAUCAAUUUCUUUUGCUGUAAAAAAGCUUGAGGAAGGUGGCUUGAGAUUCGUCUUAAGUGUUUAUAGCCUCUUGCCUAUGCAGUCGGAGAGAUUGAGGUCUGCAGCGUAGAUCCUUCGGGGCUAAAUGCAUUUGUGCUAAGUUAUAGCAUUUUAUAGACAACUUGUUGACUAUGAUUUGUCUUGUAGCUUACUCGCUUAUGUUAUUUUACCUACGCUUAGGAUGUUGAAGAUGUAGCACAUCA
rnacentral:rRNA from 1 species